rnacentral:rRNA from 1 species
AUUGAACGCUGGCGGCAUGCCUUACACAUGCAAGUCGAACGGCAGCGCGGGGCAACCUGGCGGCGAGUGGCGAACGGGUGAGUAAUAUAUCGGAACAUACCCUAGAGUGGGGGAUAACGUAGCGAAAGUUACGCUAAUACCGCAUACGCACUAAGGUGGAAAGUGGGGGAUUCGCAAGAACCUCAUGCUCAUGGAGUGGCCGAUAUCUGAUUAGCUAGUUGGUGAGGUAAAGGCUCACCAAGGCAACGAUCAGUAGCUGGUUUGAGAGAACGACCAGCCACACUGGAACUGAGACACGGUCCAGACUCCUACGGGAGGCAGCAGUGGGGAAUAUUGCGCAAUGGGCGAAAGCCUGACGCAGCGACGCCGCGUGGGUGAUGAAGGCC